GAUGAACGCUGGCGGCGUGCCUAAUACAUGCAAGUCGAGCGAACGGACGAGAAGCUUGCUUCUGAUGUUAGCGGCGGACGGGUGAGUAACACGUGGAUAACCUACCUAUAAGACUGGGAUAACUUCGGGAAACCGGAGCUAAUACCGGAUGAUAUUUUGAACCGCAUGGUUCAAAAGUGAAAGACGGUCUUGCUGUCACUUAUAGAUGGAUCCGCGCUGCAUUAGCUAGUUGGUAAGGUAACGGCUUACCAAGGCAACGAUGCAUAGCCGACCUGAGAGGGUGAUCGGCCACACUGGAACUGAGACACGGUCCAGACUCCUACGGGAGGCAGCAGUAGGGAAUCUUCCGCAAUGGGCGAAAGCCUGACGGAGCAACGCCGCGUGAGUGAUGAAGGUCUUCGGAUCGUAAAACUCUGUUAUUAGGGAAGAACAUAUGUGUAAGUAACUGUGCACAUCUUGACGGUACCUAAUCAGAAAGCCACGGCUAACUACGU
rnacentral:rRNA from 1 species